UACGUAGGGUGCAAGCGUUAAUCGGAAUUACUGGGCGUAAAGCGUGCGCAGGCGGUUAUGUAAGACAGGUGUGAAAUCCCCGGGCUUAACCUGGGAACUGCAUUUGUGACUGCAUAGCUAGAGUACGGUAGAGGGGGAUGGAAUUCCGCGUGUAGCAGUGAAAUGCGUAGAUAUGCGGAGGAACACCGAUGGCGAAGGCAGCCCCCUGGGCUAACACUGACGCUGAUGCACGAAAGCGUGGGGAGCAAACAGG
rnacentral:rRNA from 1 species